GAGAGGAGGGCCCGGAGAUGGUACUGAGACACGGACCCAGGCCCUAUGGGGCGCAGCAGGCGAGAAACCUUUGCAAUGUGCGAAAGCACGACAAGGUUAAUCCGAGUGUCUCCUGCUAAAGGAGUCUUUUGUCAGUUGUAGAAUCACUGGUGAAUAAGGGGUGGGCAAGUUCUGGUGUCAGCCACCGCGGUAAAACCAGCACCUCGAGUGGUCAGGAGGUUUAUUGGGCCUAAAGCAUCCGUAGCCGGUUGCAUAAGUUUUCGGUUAAAUCUAUGCGCUUAACGUAUAGGCCGCCGAAAAUACUGUGCAGCUAGGGAGUGGGAGAGGUACACGGUACUCGAUAGGAAGGGGUAAAAUCCUUUGAUCUAUUGAAGACCACCUGUGGCGAAGGCGGUGUACCAGAACACGUUCGACGGUGAGGGAUGAAAGCUGGGGGAGCAAACCGGAUUAGAUACCCGGGUAGUCCCAGCUGUAAACGAUGCAGACUCGGUGAUGCAUUGGCUUGUGGCCAAUGCAGUGCCGCAGGGAAGCCGUUAAGUCUGCCGCCUGGGAAGUACGUACGCAAGUAUGAACUUAAAGGAAUUGGCGGGGGAGCACCACAAGGGGUGAAGCUGCGGUUCAAUUGGAGUCACGCC
rnacentral:rRNA from 1 species